UUGCAUUGCAGAAUUUUAAGCCCUUUUCUAUUUUUUGCCAAAAAAAAAUGUCGGUUUCGUUAGAAGCACUAGCCAUGUCCGGAGCUAACUAUCUUGAAGUAGGCUUCGAUAUAAAUGAAUGGGAACAGAUGGAAUAGGAGGUACCACCCCAUUUAUUAGCCGAUGAAGAAGAAGAAAAACGUAGAAGAAGAGAAGAAGAAAAUCGAACGGAAAAAAGUCGAUCAAGAAUAUUCCGGUAGGUCCUUAUUUUGUAGUAGUUAUAAUACGGAGGAUUGUUAUGGUUAUGAAGGUGGAAGCCAUCGAGAGAGUAUGAUUGAAAACCGGUACUUUCUAAAAUCAAACGCUUGGAGUUUUAUGAAUCGAACGAAUGUUUGUAAGCCGUUGAGCCGAAACAUGGUGAUUAAAUCGGCAUUAGUAUGUUUUGUAUUGAUGGAAAAAUGUCGGAAAACUUCGAUCACCGGCAAAUUUUUCAUGCAGAUAGUUAUUGAGAUGAUAUAUUAUUGGAUGUGAGAUAAAAGUAUGUAGCCAUAUAAAUUGUAAUUUGUUUCAUAUGAGG
rnacentral:lncRNA from 1 species